rnacentral:rRNA from 1 species
CAGUAGCCGCGGGAAUACAGAGGGUGCGAGCGUUAAUCGGAUUUACUGGGCGUAAAGCGUGCGUAGGCGGCUAAUUGAGUCGGAUGUGAAAUCCCCGAGCUUAACUUGGGAAUUGCAUUCGAUACUGGUUAGCUAGAGUGUGGGAGAGGAUGGUAGAAUUCCAGGUGUAGCGGUGAAAUGCGUAGAGAUCUGGAGGAAUACCGAUGGCGAAGGCAGCCAUCUGGCCUAACACUGACGCUGAGGUACGAAAGCAUGGGGAGCAAACAGGAUUAGAGACCCCCGUAGUCCCUGUCUCUUAUAC